rnacentral:rRNA from 1 species
UGGUGGAGUGAUUUGUCUGGUUAAUUCCGUUAACGAACGAGACCGCCGCCUGCUAAAUAGACCCGCGAAUGGCUUUUCAUUGGCGAGGUCUUCUUAGAGGGACGUUCAUUCUACAAGAUAAGGAAGAUGGCGGCAAUAACA